rnacentral:rRNA from 1 species
UACGUAGGGUGCAAGCGUUAAUCGGAAUUACUGGGCGUAAAGCGUGCGCAGGCGGUUGUAUAAGACAGAUGUGAAAUCCCCGGGCUCAACCUGGGAACUGCAUUUGUGACUGUAUAGCUAGAGUACGGCAGAGGGGGAUGGAAUUCCGCGUGUAGCAGUGAAAUGCGUAAAUAUGCGGAGGAACACCGAUGGCGAAGGCAAUCCCCUGGACCUGUACUGACGCUCAUGCACGAAAGCGUGGGGAGCAAACAGGAUUAGAAACCCCGGUAGUCC